rnacentral:lncRNA from 1 species
AAGGACAUCUCAUGCUUCAAGAGGCUUCUGGCUAGAAUUUGGAAAAAGUGCUGAAGGCAGGUGGCCCUGACACAUAACGCCUGUUCCAGCUUCCAGAAGCCAGGCCUUGUCACAGGGAGCCUUGUAGCUGUUGCUGAAGUGGCUUAAAGAAGUGGUCUUUGGGGACUAAUAAAUUAGCACCUACUUUCAGCAAUAAAGCCAAAUAAAGCUCA